UACGUAGGGUGCAAGCGUUGUCCGGAAUUAUUGGGCGUAAAGAGCUCGUAGGCGGUCUGUCGCGUCGGCUGUGAAAACCCGGGGCUCAACCCCGGGCCUGCAGUCGAUACGGGCAGACUAGAGUGCGGUAGGGGAGACUGGAAUUCCUGGUGUAGCGGUGGAAUGCGCAGAUAUCAGGAGGAACACCGGUGGCGAAGGCGGGUCUCUGGGCAGUAACUGACGCUGAGGAGCGAAAGCGUGGGGGAGCGAACAGG
rnacentral:rRNA from 1 species